UGGGGAAUAUUGCACAAUGGGGGAAACCCUGAUGCAGCGACGCCGCGUGGAGGAAGAAGGUUUUCGGAUUGUAAACUCCUGUCGUUAGGGACGAUAAUGACGGUACCUAACAAGAAAGCACCGGCUAACUACGUGCCAGCAGCCGCGGUAAAACGUAGGGUGCAAGCGUUGUCCGGAAUUACUGGGUGUAAAGGGAGCGCAGGCGGGAAGACAAGUUGGAAGUGAAAACCAUGGGCUCAACCCAUGAAUUGCUUUCAAAACUGUUUUUCUUGAGUAGUGCAGAGGUAGAUGGAAUUCCCGGUGUAGCGGUGGAAUGCGUAGAUAUCGGGAGGAACACCAGUGGCGAAGGCGGUCUACUGGGCACCAACUGACGCUGAGGCUCGAAAGCAUGGGUAGCAAACAGGAUUAGAUACCCUGGUAGUCCAUGCCGUAAACGAUGAUUACUAGGUGUUGGGGGAUUGACCCCCUCAGUGCCGCAGUUAACACAAUAAGUAAUCCACCUGGGGAGUACGACCGCAAGGUUGAAACUCAAAGGAAUUGACGGGGGCCCGCACAAGCAGUGGAGUAUGUGGUUUAAUUCGAAGCAACGCGAAGAACCUUACCAGGUCUUGACAUCCGAUGCAUAGCACAGAGAUGUGUGAAAUCCUUCGGGACAUCGAGACAGGUGGUGCAUGGUUGUCGUCAGCUCGUGUCGUGAGAUGUUGGGUUAAGUCCCGCAACGAGCGCAACCCUUAUUGCCAGUUACUACGUUAAGAGGACUCUGGCGAGACUGCCGUUGACAAAACGGAGGAAGGUGGGGAUGACGUCAAAUCAUCAUGCCCUUUAUGACCUGGGCUACACACGUACUACAAUGGCGUUAAACAAAGAGAAGCAAGACCGCGAGGUGGAGCAAAACUCAAAAACAACGUCUCAGUUCAGAUUGCAGGCUGCAACUCGCCUGCAUGAAGUCGGAAUUGCUAGUAAUCGCAGAUCAGAAUGCUGCGGUGAAUACGUUCCC
rnacentral:rRNA from 1 species